rnacentral:rRNA from 1 species
UACGGAGGGUGCGAGCGUUGUCCGGAAUCAUUGGGCGUAAAGGGCGCGUAGGUGGCCCGGUCAGUUCGUGGUGAAAGCGCGGGGCUCAACCCUGCGUCGGCCAUGAAUACUGCCGCGGCUGGAGCACUGUAGAGGCAGGCGGAAUUCCGGGUGUAGCGGUGGAAUGCGUAGAGAUCCGGAAGAACACCGGUGGCGAAGGCGGCCUGCUGGGCAGGUUGCUGGACACUGAGGCGCGACAGCGUGGGGAGCAAACAGGAUAGAAACCCUGAGUACGUCC